UUAAAAACAAUUUAUCAAGGUGAGAUUAAUUUACAUUUGGAAAAACCAAGAUAAGUAGUAGUUAACUGCGCAUAAUUCAAAAAUAAGUGUUAAAUAUUUAUAUGUAUGUAGUCAUGAUACUUUUUUCAGCAAUACAGGUAUAAAAUCAACCAGCAAUUGAAUAAGGUUUAAAGAAAAGUGAUUUACACGUCGACAGAAAGAAAACAGUUUAUAUUUUUAGACUAGAGAAUUGUACAUGUACUUAAUCAGAAUUGACCGGUAUGUUGGAUACUCGAGUUCCUGUCUAUGCUAUACCAGUUGCCUUGUUUUCCUGGAUAGUUGCCCUUUUAACACCGGGAUGGAUAAUUUACCAAAAACUGAACGAAAAUAACUAUCAAAGUAUCUUUUAUACUGUAUCCUGUUCACGGGAAACCGCCUGCCUGUCAACCUUUUAGUUUAGUUUGCCCCUCCUUGAUAUUCAUUUUGCCAGCAUACUCUCUCUUCUUCUGUGCGGGGUCGGCUGUCGGAUUCUUUGGGCUUCCGUCAAAAAAUGGCGUUCAAACCCCAAAAAGGCUGUCAUAGGGGGAGUGUUAGUUCUAAUUGCAGCUACUUUCGAACACGC